GACGAACGCUGGCGGCGUGCUUAACACAUGCAAGUCGAACGGAAAGGCCCUGCUUUUUUGCUGUGCUCGAGUGGCGAUCGGGGGAGUAACACGUGAGUAACCUGCCCUUGACUUUGGGAUAACUUCAGGAAACUGGGGCUAAUACCGGAUAGGAGCUCCUGUUGCUAGGUGGGGGUUGGAAAGUUUCGGCGGUUGGGGUUGGACUCGCGGCUUAUCAGCUUGUUUGUGGGGUAGUGGAUUACCAAGGCUUGGACGGGUAGCCGGCCUGGGAGGGUGAGCGGCCCCAUCGGGACUGGGAUGCGGCCCAGACUCCUCCGGGAGGCAGCAGUGGAGAAUGUUGCACAAUGGGCGGAGGCAUGAUGCGGCAGCGCCGCGUGCGGGAUGACGGGCUUCGGGUUGUAAAGCGCUUUCGCCUGUGACGAAGCGUGAGUGACGGUAAUGGGUGAAGAAGCACCGGCUAACUACGUG
rnacentral:rRNA from 1 species